rnacentral:rRNA from 1 species
AGCGAACGCUGGCGGCAGGCCUAACACAUGCAAGUCGAGCGGCCGUAGCAAUACGGCAGCGGCAGACGGGAGAGUAACACGUGGGAACGCGCCCUUCGGUUCGGGAUAACUCAGGGAAACUUGGGCUAAUACCGGAUACGCCCUUACGGGGAAAGAUUUAUUGCCGAAGGAACGGCCCGCGUCCGAUUAGCUUGUUGGUGAGGUAACGGCUCACCAAGGCGACGAUCGGUAGCUGGUCUGAGAGGAUGACCAGCCUCACUGGGACUGAGACACGGCCCAGACUCCUACGGGAGGCAGCAGUGGGGAAUAUUGGACAAUGGGCGCAAGCCUGAUCCAGCCAUGCCGCGUGGGUGAUGAAGGCCCUAGGGUUGUAAAGCCCUUUCAGCGGGGAAGAUAAUGACGGUACCCGCAGAAGAAGCCCCGGCUAACUUCGUGCCAGCAGCCGCCGCGGUAA